rnacentral:rRNA from 1 species
AUUGAACGCUGGCGGCAGGCCUAACACAUGCAAGUCGAGCGGAUGAAGGGAGCUUGCUCCUGGAUUCAGCGGCGGACGGGUGAGUAAUGCCUAGGAAUCUGCCUGGUAGUGGGGGAUAACGUCCGGAAACGGGCGCUAAUACCGCAUACGUCCUGAGGGAGAAAGUGGGGGAUCUUCGGACCUCACGCUAUCAGAUGAGCCUAGGUCGGAUUAGCUAGUUGGUGGGGUAAAGGCCUACCAAGGCGACGAUCCGUAACUGGUCUGAGAGGAUGAUCAGUCACACUGGAACUGAGACACGGUCCAGACUCCUACGGGAAGCAGCAGUGGGGAAUAUUGGACAAUGGGCGAAAGCCUGGUCCAGCCAUGCCGCGUGUGUGAAGAAGGUCUUCGGAUUGUAAAGCACUUUAAGUUGGGAGGAAGGGCAGUAAGUUAAUACCUUGCUGUUUUGACGUUACCAACAGAAUAAGCACCGGCUAACUUCGUG